rnacentral:lncRNA from 1 species
GGCAGCACUUCCAAUUAUUAUAAAGUAAAUUCCCCAUUCAAACAGGAGUGACUAUUUCUGAAAACAAACAUAUCACUGGAGUAUGCUUACUAUGAAUGUCAUUUUGUACACAGUUCUCCUGCACCCCUGCCCCCUUAAGAGGUUAAGGAAUUUCUCCGAACCACCACUACAGGAUCUGAAAUCAGGAGCCAAGGAUACCAUCGCUACUGUCAUUCUCAGGCUGGGGAGAGCCGGACUGACUGAGGUUUAUACCCACCACUAUGGCAAGGGGAUGAGAUGGCACUUGAAACAGAUUUCAUUUAGAUUGUUGAAGUCCAACCAGUUUAGUUGUUUUGUGUGCUUGUGAGAAGAGGUGGCUCAGGUAUCUCAUUAUUGAGCCUAAAUUGAAGGGUCUGCUUGUUCGGCUCCUGGGAAAGUGUACAGUUGUACCUCAGUCCUACUGCAGGCAAAUCAUUUGUUUAAAGCCUGCUGAUGAGAAAUGUAAAUGUGUGUUUCAAAGAUAAAGAUGCUAAUUUGAGUAUGAGCCACGAGUUAUUAUAAGGAACAGAGAAACAUGGCUGUUAUUAUAAGCAACAGAGUGGUUGCAGGAAGGGAGGUGAGAGGUAUGAAUGGAAGGGAGGUGGAGAAGGGCCAUGGUACAUGUUAUUCAUACCACUAGUUUACCUUGAUGGUAAGAAAAUGCCUCCUCCAUGCUUAGACAUAGGGCGGCAGCAGCUCUGUGCUCAGGCUUGGUGCCAGUUUAAGGAAAGUAACUAGGCAUCAGUUUACCUUGUCCACAGAACUCUGUGACAUAUUGUCUCUAGAGUAUCUCCGGGGUGGCAUCUAAGAUUUCCCCAGCUGGAUUUGUCCCUAACUGGGGGAAGCAACUCCCAGAUCAGCCCCAGUUGUAAAGAAUCAAUGGGCCCAUGGAAAAACCUGUGUUCCCUGAUGUAGCCUUUGCCUCCCUAACUCUGUAUUUAUUGUGUGCUUUUGCUCCCCACUAAGAUCUCUAGAAGAAGAAAAAACAGGAAUCUUGAACAUCCCAAAAGGAGGAAUCUGAAUUAGUAAAUGGAACAUCCACACAUGCCCAUUAGGGAGAAAAAGAGAGUGAGAGAUGUUGUAAGUGAACUAAACCCUCAUACUCCAUAGCAGGAAAUGAACAGAUGAUAUAUCAAGUUAAUAAAAGACAGAGAUAAACUGGAAGUCUUUGGAAAUACGGAGGUAAACUCAUAAAGCCUAAAACCAGAAACGGUUAAAUGUGAUUCUCCUGGGGAGUAAUCCUGAGGGUGGAGAGGAGGAUGGCUGAGAACUUAGCAUGUUUUCAGAAGCCUUGUGGAUUGAAUUGAUUUUUAACCACAUGCAUGUAUUACAUUGAUAAAAAAUUUAAACAAAAAUUAGUUUCAAAACUAUGGCUACAUUUUAUAUUAUAACAGCAAAUUCCUAUGUUUUAGGCACUGUUUUAAGUAUUUG